rnacentral:rRNA from 1 species
UCAUAUGCUUGUCUCAAAGAUUAAGCCAUGCAUGUCUAAGUACAAGCCUCACUAAGGUGAAACCGCGAAUGGCUCAUUAAAUCACACCUAAUCUACUGGAUAGUACAAGUUACUUGGAUAACUGCGGUAAUUCUGGAGCUAAUACAUGCACAAAGCCUCGAACUUACGUGAGAGGCGCUUUUAUUAGAUCAAAACCAAACGGCUUCGGCUGUAUUCUUGGUGACUCUGAAUAACUUUGGGCUGAUCGCAUAGCCUUGCGCUGGCGACAUAUCCUUCGAAGGUGUGCCCUAUCAACUGUCGACUGUGGCAUAGACGCCCACAGUGGUUUUGACGGGUAACGGGGAAUCAGGGUUCGAUUCCGGAGAGGGAGACCU